rnacentral:rRNA from 1 species
GAGUUGCGAACGGGUGAGUAACGCGUAGGUAACCUGCCUGGUAGCGGGGGAUAACUAUUGGAAACGAUAGCUAAUACCGCAUAAGAACAUUUACUGCAUGGUAGAUGUUUAAAAGGUGCAAAAGCAUCACUACCAGAUGGACCUGCGUUGUAUUAGCUAGUUGGUGAGGUAACGGCUCACCAAGGCAACGAUACAUAGCCGACCUGAGAGGGUGAUCGGCCACACUGGGACUGAGACACGGCCCAGACUCCUACGGGAGGCAGCAGUAGGGAAUCUUCGGCAAUGGGGGGAACCCUGACCGAGCAACGCCGCGUGAGUGAAGAAGGUUUUCGGAUCGUAAAGCUCUGUUGUUAAGGAAGAACGUGUGUGAGAGUGGAAAGUUCACACAGUG